AAAGAGUAAAAAAAGAGAAAGGAAAGACAGAUAGAUUUGAGAGAAAGAGAAGGGAAAGAGAUAUAGAAGAGAAGGGAAAUGGAAAGAGAUAAAAGAUGAGAAAGAUAAGUAUAAAAAGAGAAGGGAAAGAGAUACAGAAGAGAAGGGAAAUGGAAAGAGAUAAAAGAUGAGAAAGAUAAGUAUAAAAAGAGAAGGGGAAGAGAUAUAGAAGAGAAGGGAAAUGGAAAGAGAUAAAAGAUGAGAAAGAUAAGUAUAAAAAGAGAAGGGGAAGAGAUAUAGAAGAGAAGGGAAAUGGAAAGAGAUAAAAGAUGAGAAAGACAAGUAUAAAAAGAGAAGGGAAAGAGAUAUAGAAGAGAAGGGAAAUGGAAAGAGAUAAAAGAUGAGAAAGAUAAGUAUAAAAAGAGAAGGGAAAGAGAUAUAGAAGAGAAGGGAAAUGGAAAGAGAUAAAAGAUGAGACAGAGAUUUGAGAGAAAGAGAAGGGAAAGAGAUAUAGAAGAGAAGGGAAAUGGAAAGAGAUAAAAGAUGAGAAAGAUAAGUAUAAAAAGAGAAGGGAAAGAGAUAUAGAAGAGAAGGGAAAUGGAAAGAGAUAAAAGAUGAGAAAGACAAGUAUAAAAAGAGAAGGGAAAGAUAUGGAGAAGGUAAAAAGAAACAGAUGGGAGAGAAAGGAAAAAAUAAUACAUGGAAGUAGAAGAAAAGAGCCAAAAAAACAGAUGUGGCAGCAGAAUGUGACCUGGCAAUUAGAGACGAGAAACAAUUACGGGAGAGUAAACCCAAGCCGCCCACUAAUUACGACAGACGGCCCAUCCUUCGCCGCUGUGCCCAUCUCCGUUUCUUUCCUUCACUAGAGCCUUUACUGAGUGCCUGGAUGCCCUUGGAUGCAGAAAAAGUAAACAGGGCAUUUCAAAACACGUCCCAUUGUAUACUUUCAAAUUACACUUCGCAUACCGCCAGCUUUAACUCUAUUUUUUUUCUUCGGGUUUACAAGGCGAAUAUAAACCCAGGUAACACCUCAAAAUACGUUCUAUACUUUGACUGUACGCUUCAUCUUCGCUCCUCGGUUUUGAAAGGCGAAUAUAAACCUUUGUAAAUAGCAUCAGAGGAGGAGAGAUAACGCCAUGGGUACGUGUAUAAGAAAGCAUAGGUAUAGUGUCAAAGGAGGAGGGAUAUGCUAUGGGCUGAUAUUAUAACAAAACAUAGGUAAAGGUUAGGUAAGGCUAAGUAAGGUAAGGUAAGGUAAGGGUAGGGUACGGUAGGGUAAGGUAAGGUAAGGAAAGGUUGGGGGCAUACGCUAUAGCUGUGCAGUUGUUGUUGUUGUUGUUGUUGUUGUUGUUUAGGUGCUGCCGACAGCGCCGGUAGACUUUCUUGAGGGGCCGCUUAGACGACCCCAGCCCGUUAGUGACGCAGGCGAAUUUUUUUUAUAGUCGCUGCCGUGAUAUAUGACAGAACACAGAUAGCCAGUGUCAGAAGAGGAGAGAUAGGCCGGUAUAUAAGAAACCGCAGAGGGAGGAGAGAAGGAGAGGAGAAGGAAGAGAAGGAGGAAAGGAGGAGAAGAGGAGAGAUACGCAUUGCCAGAAACAUAAGAAAACACAGCAAGUAUUACAGACAAAUAAAAAGAGUGGUUUACUAUCACUAAACACUUUGCUAAUUUAACACACAGGUGGAUAUAUUAAGACCCAAUAAACAAUAGACGUUCUCCGCGGAUAUUAAAGAAGCACAGCACAGCGUUUGAACAGUGCUACACAAAGCAGAAUAAAAAAGACAGCACCCUGGGUUUAUGGUACCCUUGUAAAUCCGAGGAAACGAAUUGUGUUGUGAAAACUUACAAUGGAAACGUAUUUUAGGAUGUUUUGCAUUUUUUCGGCACUCAAAGGCAUUCAGGCACUUAUAAUGAAUGGCCUCAGUGAAGUAAUAGACGGAGAUAACCACUGUGGCAACAACAACACUUAGAUAAUUUAAGUAGAACACAAGCAGGAUUCGUUACAAGGGCACAUUCCAAAGCCCCUAAAUCUGUCUCUGUAAAUCAGUCGAAAAACAAAAGCCAGUAACAAUCAAGAAAAAAAACAAUAACAAAGUAAAAAAAAAGAAAGACGACAAAAUAUAACGCAGUGCAGGAAGAAGACAUUUCAAGCUUCAUGAAUAUAAAAUCGGGUAAAAUACGCAACGAGGAGAAGAAGGAAGAAGUCAAAAUAGAGUGAAGUGGAGAAGAAGAAAACAUUGCAACUUAGCGAAACAGAAAUUGGGGAAAAAAAUAUAACGAGCAAAAGAGGAUAGAAGACAAAACUGUAAUUAAGGUAAAAUGAAAAAAAUAAACUUGAAACUUGGUGAAGGAGAAAGAAAAGGUAAAACAAGACUAAUAAAGAGGGAAAAUACACAACGAGGAGAAGAAGGAAGAAGUUAAAAGAAGAAACAGAAAUUGGGGGAAAAAAUAUAACGAGCAAAAGAGGAUAGAAGACAAAACUGUAAUUAAGGUAAAAUGAAAAAAAUAAACUUGAAACUUGGUGAAGGAGAAAGAAGAGGUAAAACAAGACCAAUAAAGAAGUAAAAUACACAACGAGGAGAAGAAGGAAGAAGUUAAAAGAAGAAAACAUUGCAACUUAGCGAAACAGAAAUUGGGAAAAGAAAUAUAAAACAAAACUGUAAUUAAGGUAGAAUGAAAAAAAUAAACUUGAAACUUGGUGAAGGAGAAAGAAGAGGUAAAACAAUACCAAUAAAGAGG